rnacentral:rRNA from 1 species
UACGUAGGGGGCUAGCGUUGUCCGGAAUCAUUGGGCGUAAAGCGCGUGUAGGCGGCCCGGUAAGUCCGCUGUGAAAGUCGGGGGCUCAACCCUCGAAAGCCGGUGGAUACUGUCGGGCUAGAGUACGGAAGAGGCAAGUGGAAUUCCUGGUGUAGCGGUGGAAUGCGCAGAUAUCAGGAGGAACACCUAUAGCGAAGGCAGCUUGCUGGGACGUUACUGACGCUAAGGCGCGAAAGCGUGGGGAGCGAACAGG